rnacentral:rRNA from 1 species
ACGUAGGGGGCAAGCGUUGUCCGGAUUUACUGGGUGUAAAGGGUGCUCAGGCGGGUUUGUAAGUCAGUGGUGAAAUCCCGGGGCUUAACUCCGGAACGGCCAUAGAAACUGCAAGCCUAGAGUGCGGAAGAGGUAGAUGGAAUAUCUGGUGUAGCAGUGAAAUGCGUAGAUAUCAGAUAGAACACCAGUGGCGAAGGCAGCCAACUGGACCGUUACUGACGCUGAAGCACGAAAGCGAGGGGAGCGAACAG